rnacentral:rRNA from 1 species
UGGGGAAUCUUGCGCAAUGGGCGAAAGCCUGACGCAGCAACGCCGCGUGAGCGAAGAAGGCCUUCGGGUUGUAAAGCUCUGUCAGGAGGGACGAAGCCACUCGGGUGAACAGCCCAGAGGGUGACGGUACCUCCAGAGGAAGCCCCGGCUAACUACGUGCCAGCAGCCGCGGUAAUACGUAGGGGGCGAGCGUUGUCCGGAAUCAUUGGGCGUAAAGCGCGUGUAGGCGGCUUGGCAAGUCUGGUGUGAAAGCUCGAGGCUCAACCUCGAGUCUGCACCGGAAACUGCCUUGCUAGAGUCCGGAAGAGGAGACUGGAAUUCCUGGUGUAGCGGUGAAAUGCGCAGAUAUCAGGAAGAACACCGGUGGCGAAGGCGGGUCUCUGGGACGGUACUGACGCUGAGGUGCGAAAGCCGGGGGAGCGAACG